rnacentral:miRNA from 1 species
UUCCUUCCGAUGGAAGAGGUACAUGUACCUCGUCCAAGCGGAAGGCGUUCUUUCCGAUGGACGAGGUACAUGUACCUCGUCCAUCGGAAGGAA